rnacentral:rRNA from 1 species
CCCGAGGAAAAGAAAUCAACCGAGAUUCCCCUAGUAGCGGCGAGCGAACGGGGAGCAGCCCAGAGUCUUAAUCAAUAACAGUGUCAGGAGAACGGUCUGGAAAGUCCGGCAGUAAAGGGUGAUAGCCCCGUAUCUGAAGAUGCUGUUAUUGUGAACUCGACGAGUAGGGCGGGACACGUGUUAUCCUGUCUGAAUAUGGGGGGACCAUCCUCCAAGGCUAAAUACUCCUGAUUGACCGAUAGUGAACCAGUACCGUGAGGGAAAGGCGAAAAGAACCCCGGCGAGGGGAGUGAAAAAGAACCUGAAACCGUGUACGUACAAGCAGUAGGAGCCUCUUUAUGGGGUGACUGCGUACCUUUUGUAUAAUGGGUCAGCGACUUAUAUUCUGUAGCGAGGUUAACCGUAUAGGGGAGCCGUAGGGAAACCGAGUCUUAACUGGGCGAAUGAGUUGCAGGGUAUAGACCCGAAAC